rnacentral:rRNA from 1 species
GAUGAACGCUGGCGGCGUGCCUAAUACAUGCAAGUCGAGCGAACGGACGAGAAGCUUGCUUCUCUGAUGUUAGCGGCGGACGGGUGAGUAACACGUGGAUAACCUACCUAUAAGACUGGGAUAACUUCGGGAAACCGGAGCUAAUACCGGAUAAUAUUUUGAACCGCAUGGUUCAAAAGUAAAAGACGGUCUUGCUGUCACUUAUAGAUGGAUCCGCGCUGCAUUAGCUAGUUGGUAAGGUAACGGCUUACCAAGGCAACGAUGCAUAGCCGACCUGAGAGGGGGAUCGGCCACACUGGAACUUAGACACGGUCCAGACGCCUACGGGAGGCAGCAGUAGGGAAUCUUCCGCAAUGGGCGAAAGCCUGACGGAGCAACGCCGCGUGAGUGAUGAAGGUCGUCGGAUCGUAAAACUCUGUUAUGAGGGAAGAACAUAUGUGUAAGUAACUGUGCACAUCUUGACGGUACCUAAUCAGAAAGCCCCGGCUAACUACGUG